rnacentral:rRNA from 1 species
AGAGUUUGAUCAUGGCUCAGGAUGAACGCUGGCGGCGUGCCUAAUACAUGCAAGUUGUGCGGUAACAGAGAGAGCUUGCUCUCUGCUGACGAGCGGCGGACGGCAGAGUAACGCGUAGGAACAUACCCCAAACUGAGGGAUAACUGCUCGAAAGAGUAGCUAAUACCGCAUGUGGUCUUCGGAUUAAAGCUUCGGCGGUUUGGGAGUGGCCUGCGUCCGAUUAGCUAGUUGGUGAGGUAAAUUGCUCACCAAGGCGACGAUCGGUAGCUGGUCUGAGAGGAUGAUCAGCCUGACUGGAACUGAGAACGGUCCAGACUCCUACGGGAGGCAGCAGUAGGGAAUUUUCCACAAUGGGCGAAAGCCUGAUGGAGCAACGCCGCGUGCAGGAUGAAUGCCUUCGGGUUGUAAACUGCUUUUCUGUGUGAAGAAUAUGACGGUAACACAGGAAUAAGGGUCGGCUAACUACGUG